UUUAGAGUUUUGAUCCUUGCUCAGGACGAACGCUGGCGGCGUGCUUAACACAUGCAAGUCGAACGCUGAAGCCUGGUGCUUGCACCGGGUGGAUGAGUGGCGAACGGGUGAGUAAUACGUGAGUGACCUGCCUUUGACUCUGGGAUAAGCCUGGGAAACUGGGUCUAAUACCGGAUGCGACUACUGCCCGCAUGGGCUGGUGGUGGAAAGGGUUAUGUACUGGUCUUAGAUGGGCUCACGGCCUAUCAGCUGGUUGGUGGGGUAAUGGCCUACCAAGGCGACGACGGGUAGCCGGCCUGAGAGGGUGACCGGCCACACUGGGACUGAGACACGGCCCAGACUCCUACGGGAGGCAGCAGUGGGGAAUAUUGCACAAUGGGCGCAAGCCUGAUGCAGCGACGCCGCGUGAGGGAUGACGGCCUUCGGGUUGUAAACCUCUUUCAGCAGGGAAGAAGCGGAAGU
rnacentral:rRNA from 1 species